GCGGAUAUAGCUCAGCUGGUAGAGCGGCGUCUUGCCAAGGCGCAGGCCAGGAGUUCGAACCUCCUUAUCCGCUCCA
rnacentral:tRNA from 1 species